GAAAAAGCUUGAUGGGUUCACCUGCUCUUUUAGAGUGCAUAAUGUCCUUUCUAACCGGUGGAGGGCAGAAAAGAGCUCUCAGUAUUGUUCUGUGUCUUGGAACUGCAGGUUUUCCACAAAAGAAAAUUUGGUUGUGUCAAGGAAAUUCAAAGACCCAGUAAGAUUCUUCACCUGAAGCUCAUUUGGAGUGCAUCAGUUUGUCACAUCCCAAAGGAAGGUGUUAAAGAUAUCUCAGAUGACCCAUCCUCUGGAAGUGCCUAUUUAUUUCCAGUGGCCAUAGAGGGAUCCCAGACAGCUACCUCAGAUACUGAUGUCGGUGCAGAUCCAGAGAUUAAGCAAACAAGUGGAAAUGCCCCUCCCUCUUUUUCCUGCCACCUGCCCUAUGUCUUUCCCCUGACUUCAAGGACUUAGCUCCAAUCUUUCAUCCUCAGUUAAUAUGAGAACUAAAGGAUGAUUUGCUUUCCAAUUCUUUUUAAGAAGAGAAACAAUCAUUUUGAAGGAAAUCUGUAGAUAGUUUAUGUUAGUGCUCAAUUACCCAUCAUUCAGACAAGGGUAAAUAUUAGGAUUUGAGAAUCUAGCACAAGUAAUAGAUUUUUCUUUUUUAGGGAAAACAGCCUAUUUGCUUUAAAGCCAAGCAUUGACUGUUUCAAUAUGUUCAAGCCUAGAAGGCUGAAAACGACAACACAGAUGUGAUUCACAUAGGGAUCACCAGCAUGGUGCUUCUGUGUUCUGGCUUGUUGGAAAGCUUCCAGGGGAUUUAGGAAGAGAACAUACUGCAGAAAUGCAAACCAUUAUUUAGCCAAUUAGUUAGGAAAAUGUGUUGUUUCAGCAUGAUCAGAUUUAGCUUUGUUAAUUUUUAUUUGUUCUCAUUAAAAUUUCCACACACAGAACAAAAUAUUUAGUCACAGAGCUGUUAUCUUUAGUUAAAAUGGCUAUUUAUCAAUCAGAUGUUGUUUGAGAAUAUCCUGUGUAUGGAGGAGCUUACAUAUCUCCUAGGUGACUGUAGGAACAAAGUAGAAGCACACUGCGUAACAGCAAGGCACAUCCAUUAUUCUUUUAGCAGUGUAGUAUUUGAGUAUAUUUUGUACAUUGAAUUUAUCUGAUUAUUUUGAACCUAUAAAAUCUAAUUAAAACACCUUUAGUAUUAGAUUCCUCUUUCCUAGAAAUUGCCAGUAUGUUUGGUCUGGGGAGAGGUGAGAGAGACUGUAGAAAAAUGCCCCUCAGCGAUGUUGUUGUUCUUGCAUAAUAUCCUUAUGGACUGGUACAACUGAGCAAUGCACAGCCAUUUUUUAAGUGUGUAGGUAAAUCACUUUGUUUUAAGUAAGCAUGAGACGUAUUAAGGUUUUCUUGGUCUUUAGAUAAUCUACUAUAGAUGCAGAAAUUUGUAGAUGAGAAUCAAAAGUGGUUUUACAGGAAGGACUUUCCAGGUUUUCCACAUAGUAAUGAAAUAUGAUAUAAAGCAACACAGUGUCAAUAAAUCUACAGGAUAAAGGUCAGGUUUACAUCGAUGGACAGAGCUGGCAAAUACAUUUGUUCCUGCAAUGUCUGUGUUUUAAAUGCCAACCUCUGAUGAACCCAGUGUAGAAAUACACUUUAGGGUUUGAUGAGAUGUCAGUUUUGUUCAGUGCUGAUCAAAUAAGAUGAAUGAAAGUGAAACAAGAACAAAAAUAUUACUUCUGUCAUUUAUUUUUUAUGCAUUACAGGAAGUGGGUCAGUCAGGGAGAUUUCUCUUAAACAAAUAGCAAUCACUGCACAAUAUCACCCAUUGAUCUAUUUCACAGCAGGCAAUAGCCUUUUUGUCAGAAAGGACAUACCAUUCAAAUACCACAGAAUACAUAGAAAUGCCCAUGACAGGUUUGAAAAGUAUCUUCCCCUCCUUUUAUUGCCAAGAUUGCCAAGCCAUCUCCUUUCACAAAUCAAUCUAAGCAGCAGAGGCAGAGCAUUGAAGAAAA